rnacentral:rRNA from 1 species
UACGUAGGUGGCAAGCGUUGUCCGGAUUUACUGGGCGUAAAGAGCGCGCAGGCGGUCGUUCAAGUCGAGUGUGAAAUCCCCCGGCUCAACUGGGGAACUGCACAGGAGACUGCUUGGCUUGAGUUCGGGAGAGGGAAGCGGAAUUCCGGGUGUAGCGGUGAAAUGCGUAGAUAUCCGGAGGAACACCGGUGGCGAAGGCGGCUUCCUGGACCGACACUGACGCUGAGGCGCGAAAGCCAGGGGAGCAAACGGG